GGUCUAUUAGCUCAAUUGGUUAGAGUGUGGUACUAAUAAUGCCAAGGUCACAGGUUCAACCCCUGUAUGGACCA
rnacentral:tRNA from 1 species